rnacentral:rRNA from 2 species
GGCGGCGUGCCUAAUACAUGCAAGUCGAACGAACUCUGGUAUUGAUUGGUGCUUGCAUCAUGAUUUACAUUUGAGUGAGUGGCGAACUGGUGAGUAACACGUGGGAAACCUGCCCAGAAGCGGGGGAUAACACCUGGAAACAGAUGCUAAUACCGCAUAACAACUUGGACCGCAUGGUCCGAGUUUGAAAGAUGGCUUCGGCUAUCACUUUUGGAUGGUCCCGCGGCGUAUUAGCUAGAUGGUGRGGUAACGGCUCACCAUGGCAAUGAUACGUAGCCGACCUGAGAGGGUAAUCGGCCACAUUGGGACUGAGACACGGCCCAAACUCCUACGGGAGGCAGCAGUAGGGAAUCUUCCACAAUGGACGAAAGUCUGAUGGAGCAACGCCGCGUGAGUGAAGAAGGGUUUCGGCUCGUAAAACUCUGUUGUUAAAGAAGAACAUAUCUGAGAGUAACUGUUCAGGUAUUGACGGUAUUUAACCAGAAAGCCACGGCUAACUACGUGCCAGCAGCCGCGGUAAUACGUAGGUGGCAAGCGUUGUCCGGAUUUAUUGGGCGUAAAGCGAGCGCAGGCGGUUUUUUAAGUCUGAUGUGAAAGCCUUCGGCUCAACCGAAGAAGUGCAUCGGAAACUGGGAAACUUGAGUGCAGAAGAGGACAGUGGAACUCCAUGUGUAGCGGUGAAAUGCGUAGAUAUAUGGAAGAACACCAGUGGCGAAGGCGGCUGUCUGGUCUGUAACUGACGCUGAGGCUCGAAAGUAUGGGUAGCAAACAGGAUUAGAUACCCUGGUAGUCCAUACCGUAAACGAUGAAUGCUAAGUGUUGGAGGGUUUCCGCCCUUCAGUGCUGCAGCUAACGCAUUAAGCAUUCCGCCUGGGGAGUACGGCCGCAAGGCUGAAACUCAAAGGAAUUGACGGGGGCCCGCACAAGCGGUGGAGCAUGUGGUUUAAUUCGAAGCUACGCGAAGAACCUUACCAGGUCUUGACAUACUAUGCAAAUCUAAGAGAUUAGACGUUCCCUUCGGGGACAUGGAUACAGGUGGUGCAUGGUUGUCGUCAGCUCGUGUCGUGAGAUGUUGGGUUAAGUCCCGCAACGAGCGCAACCCUUAUUAUCAGUUGCCAGCAUUAAGUUGGGCACUCUGGUGAGACUGCCGGUGACAAACCGGAGGAAGGUGGGGAUGACGUCAAAUCAUCAUGCCCCUUAUGACCUGGGCUACACACGUGCUACAAUGGAUGGUACAACGAGUUGCGAAACUCGCGAGAGUAAGCUAAUCUCUUAAAGCCAUUCUCAGUUCGGAUUGUAGGCUGCAACUCGCCUACAUGAAGUCGGAAUCGCUAGUAAUCGCGGAUC